ACGUGUGGGAGGGGCUGAGGGGUAUAUCAGGACUAUGUCCUGUUGUGGAGCGUCAGUGUGCUGUACACUCCUGUGGAGAUAACCCGUGCUGCUGAGAUUGAUUGACCAGCUUGUUACAGAUUUGACAAGCCUUCGGUCUUAAGCUAGGCGUAUGCCUCCACAGAUGCUAUACCUGUUCAUUUAAGCACUUUGGUCACCCUGUCUCUGGGUGCCCCCCCUUGCCCCUCCGAUGGUUGGGGAUUGUGUGAAUUCCAUCUGCAGCGGCCUCUCACCUUUUCCUGCCUAAGUUAUCCUUGUGGCUGGCAACUUGUGCUCAUCCGGCCUGACCUUUCAGGCAUGUGAUGGAACCAGGGUAUAUACGCACCCUGUUGUCUUUUUACUCCCACUACGGACCAGCAGAAUCCUAAACUCUGAUCUCAACCACCCCUGAAGAAGCCUAACCGGGCGAAAUAUAUAGGGUUUACCAACCAGGUUGCGAUCUCUGUUAUAGUACUAAUGUCUGUUAUGGGAACUUUUUAACUUUGUACUCGUGAUCAGGUUGUUGAUUUGUGUAGUAGGCUUUUGUAUAAGUCUAUGAUAUGCCCUACAACCUGACGCCACUCUGUGUUAUUUAAUAAAUCAUUAAAAAUUUAUA